rnacentral:piRNA from 1 species
UGAGAGGUGCAUCUUCUGGCUCACUUUCUUC